rnacentral:rRNA from 1 species
AGCGAACGCUGGCGGCAGGCUUAGCACAUGCAAGUCGAACGGGCACUUCGGUGCUAGUGGCAGACGGGUGAGUAACACGUGGGAACAUACCUUUCGGUUCGGAAUAAUACAGGGAAACUUGUACUAAUACCGGAUACGCCCUUCGGGGGAAAGAUUUAUCGCCGAUAGAUCGGCCCGCGUCUGAUUAGCUAGUUGGUGAGGUAAUGGCUCGCCAAGGCGACGAUCAGUAGCUGGUCUGAGAGGAUGAUCAGCCACACUGGGACUGAGACACGGCCCCGACUCCUACGGGAGGCAGCAGUGGGAAAUAUUGGACAAUGGGCGAAAGCCUGAUCCAGCCAUGCCGCGUGAGUGAUGAAGGCCUUAGGGUUGUAAAGCUCUUUUGUCCGGGAAGAUAAUGACUGUACCGGAAGAAUAAGCCCCGGCUAACUUCGUGCCUGCAGCCGCCGUAACAC